AGACUGCUGAAGAGUUCCACAAUAAGACGAAACGGCUGUCCAGUGC
rnacentral:hammerhead_ribozyme from 1 species